rnacentral:rRNA from 1 species
AGAGUUUGAUCAUGGCUCAGGACGAACGCUGGCGGCGUGCCUAAUACAUGCAAGUCGAGCGAGCUGAAUUCAAAGAUUCCUUCGGGAUGAUUUGUUGGACGCUAGCGGCGGAUGGGUGAGUAACACGUGGGCAAUCUGCCCUAAAGACUGGGAUACCACUUGGAAACAGGUGCUAAUACCGGAUAACAACAUGAAUCGCAUGAUUCAAGUUUGAAAGGCGGCGCAAGCUGUCACUUUAGGAUGAGCCCGCGGCGCAUUAGCUAGUUGGUGGGGUAAAGGCCUACCAAGGCAAUGAUGCGUAGCCGAGUUGAGAGACUGAUCGGCCACAUUGGGACUGAGACACGGCCCAAACUCCUACGGGAGGCAGCAGUAGGGAAUCUUCCACAAUGGACGCAAGUCUGAUGGAGCAACGCCGCGUGAGUGAAGAAGGUUUUCGGAUCGUAAAGCUCUGUUGUUGGUGAAGAAGGAUAGAGGCAGUAACUGGUCUUUAUUUGACGGUAAUCAACCAGAAAGUCACGGCUAACUACGUGCCAGCAGCCGCGGUAAUACGUAGGUGGCAAGCGUUGUCCGGAUUUAUUGGGCGUAAAGCGAGCGCAGGCGGAAUGAUAAGUCUGAUGUGAAAGCCCACGGCUCAACCGUGGAACUGCAUCGGAAACUGUCAUUCUUGAGUGCAGAAGAGGAGAGUGGAACUCCAUGUGUAGCGGUGGAAUGCGUAGAUAUAUGGAAGAACACCAGUGGCGAAAGCGGCUCUCUGGUCUGCAACUGACGCUGACGCUCGAAAGCAUGGGUAGCGAACAGGAUUAGAUACCCUGGUAGUCCAUGCCGUAAACGAUGAGCGCUAGGUGUUGGGGACUUUCCCGGUCCUCAGUGCCGCAGCAAACGCAUUAAGCGCUCCGCCUGGGGAGUACGACCGCAAAUUGAAACUCAAAGGAAUUGACGGGGGCCCGCACAAGCGGUGGAGCAUGUGUUUAAUUCGAAGCAACGCGAAGAACUUACCAGGUCUUGACAUCCUGGUGACAUUCUAAAGAUAGACUUUCUCUUUCGGAGAAACAAAAGACAGGUGGGUGCAUGCUGUCGUCAGCCUCUUGUCGUGAGAAUGGUUGAGUUAAUUCCCCCACGAGCGCAACCAUGUCCUGUUGCCAUCAUAAUGGGCAUCUUAAAGAACU